CCCCCACUCGCAGCACCCUCGCUGGUCCCAGUCUCAGAGCAGCUCCUCCUCUUCUCCUGCAGCCCACGGUCCAACCUGCAUUCACCAUGCGGGGCCUCUGCUUCGUGCUCCUGACCUGCUUCAUCUUCUUUGCUUACUUUGCCACAGCCUGGGUCAUGGAGAUAGACUCAGAAGAGGAGUGCGAGCGGGUUGGUGCCCAGUGUAAAUGGUUUUCUUGCCCAGAUGAUCAUGCACGUCUUGGUACCUGUUGGUUUGGGAUAAAGAAAUGCUGUCGGUAGCUGGGAUGAGCUGAAGAACACAGAGGACAAGGAGCCCAGAGACUGAAAUAAAGGGCUGACUAUAACUCUGAAA